rnacentral:rRNA from 1 species
CAGCAGCCGCGGGAAUACGUAGGUGGCAAGCGUUGUCCGGAAUUAUUGGGCGUAAAGGGCUCGCAGGCGGUUUCUUAAGUCUGAUGUGAAAGCCCCCGGCUCAACCGGGGAGGGUCAUUGGAAACUGGGAAACUUGAGUGCAGAAGAGGAGAGUGGAAUUCCACGUGUAGCGGUGAAAUGCGUAGAGAUGUGGAGGAACACCAGUGGCGAAGGCGACUCUCUGGUCUGUAACCGACGCUGAGGAGCGAAAGCGUGGGGAGCGAACAGGAUUAGAUACCCCGGUAGUCCCUGUCUCUUAUAC